CUGCCUGGCAACGCGGCCCGCCCCAUCCACGCGGGAAAGCCAGCGGGGUUCACUCUACCUCCUUUUUCUUCUGUCCUCCCCCGAGCUGGAUGCAGAGCAGCAGCAGCAGGAGGAGAAAGGGAAAGCUGCCCGUGGGCAGUGAUCUGGAAAUGAAGAUUUAAUAUCUCCAAUAUGUAUCUGUAGCUGCUGUGAGCUCCCAUAGAUUUGUCAAAAGGACUCACCCCAUCUGUAACCUGUUAUCUACACCAGGCUGUGUCCCCAAAGUGAUCCCAAAACCCAUUCUAAAUAUUUGCUCAAAAAAAUGUAUGUUACAUGACAGAGUGUACAGUGUCCCAAUCCAUAUUGCCAAGCUAUUUUCAAUAAUUUUCCAUUUAUCCCCUUC